rnacentral:misc_RNA from 1 species
UCUAAAUGCAUUAGCUGGAUCUGAAGGUCGGCGAUCCUCAGUGUGAUAAUUAUCUACGCUGUUGUAUUCCACCUAGCACGAGGUGUUACCGUCCUUCUGGAUGUGUAGCCCAUGUGAAGGAUCACGCUUACAAUCGUCCGAAAGGACAAUUCAUCUUGACAUCUGACCUCAAAUCAGGUAGGACUACCCGCUGAACUUAA